CAAUAGCGUAUAUUAAAGUUGUUGCGGUAAAAAAGCUCGUAGUUGGACUUCUGUUGAGAGAUACCGGUCCAUGCAACGCAUGCGUAUUUGGUAAGUCUCGGCAUCCUCUCGAAAAACUUCUUUGCGCUUGAUUGCGUGAAAAGAGUUUCGGGACUUUUACUUUGAGGAAAUUAGAGUGUUCACGGCAGGCCAUCGCCAGGAUACAUUAGCAUGGAAUAAUACUAUAGGAUCUUGAUCCUAUUUUGUUGGUUUCUAGGAUUAAGAUAAUGAUUAAUAGGGACAAUUGGGGGCAUUCGUAUCAACACGUCAGAGGUGGAAUUCUUGGAUUGCGUUGCGACAAACUACUGCGAAAGCAUUUGCCAAGGAUGUUUUCAUUGA
rnacentral:rRNA from 1 species